rnacentral:lncRNA from 1 species
UCAGGCUUUUCGGAAUAAGUUUGAAUAUUUUAGGAUUAACAACUUUGGAGAUAUCAGGAGAGAGGAUGCCCUAGGGUUUAUUGUGCAACAAUAAAGUCCCGACACAUCAAAGUUUAGAGUUUACGGCCUAAACAAGGAGUUUACGGCCGUAAACCCUAAAGGGAAGUGGUAUAAAGGUGACACUUAGUUAUUUUUACAAUUUUUUCAACUUUCAAGAUCCAAAUCUCAAACUCUCUCACGUAUCAUCCAAAGAAUUCUUCAAGAUCUUCAUCUGGUAACUGUUUCUAGCCCUUUCAAGUUAGUAUAUCACCUAUUCUAGUGAUUUAACACACUUCUAUCCAUGAAAUCUUUCCAAAAGGUUGAUUCUUCAAGUUUCACCAAGAACACCAAGAACACACACUAGUGUUCUUGGACUUUUGGACCUUUUUAAGCUUCUAUAUUGUAAGUAUUUCUAUCCUAGAGUAUGUUAAGGCUUGAUACACUUCUUUACAUCAAGAAAACACCAUUGAAACCCAAUAUCAAAGGUUUUUACGGUCCAAGAACACCUUGGGCCGUAAACCCUAAUUUAGGGGCCAAAGUGACCCUAGUCCCUUCACAAGCUUUGGAAACUAGUCUAGACUCAUUCCUUAAUAUGUUUAGGACUUGAAAACGCCAAAAUACCAUAUUCCAUAAGGGUUUAUGGUAGUAAAACCAAAAAGAAAUGGUCUUAGGGCCGUAAACUCCUCAAACGAGGGAAAUGGUGCCCUAAUCUCUUCCAAAGGCUUAACCAUCAUGUAGAAAUGCUUCUAAAGGACUUGUAGGGCUUCAAAACAAAACAUGGUCAUAGGAGUAUAAGUUUACGACCGUAAACUCAAUGAGUGAUAGUCACAAAACCUUAUACUCAAUGAGUGAUGGUCACAAAACCGUAAACUCAUUAAAGGGGGUUUCCUUGAACCCUAAACUCAAUAGCAAUAUCCUACAACACUUAGAUGCAAUCUUUGGGACUAAUAACACUUAUAUAAGGUGUUUAGCAUGUCCUAGGGUGACUUAGCUUUGUUAAUUAGUUGUUUAGAGACUAAUUGGAUACAUAUAUGUGGUAUUAUAUGUUAAUUAGGGUCCUUGUGUGUGCUCAAGUCUUCACUUGACACCUAGCAAUCCUGUUUUAUCAGUUCAUCCGUACCACUCACUACAGGUGAGUUCAUACCCCUUAAAUUGACCUUUUAAACGUUUUUAAAUGCUUUUAUGGUGGGAAUACAAGUUGAAUAAUUAUAGUUAUUAUCUCAAUCACAUGUGAUUAAUAACUACCAAACAAGUGGUUUUCUUACUUUUUAAAUUGUAUUAUCAAAUUGUUUUGCUUCAAACUAUUUUACAAACUCUUCUAUUGUCAAAUACUUUUACUUAAACUUUUUUUAUACUUUUAUAUUUUCAAAUGCAUGCCUAUGGAUGUAUAGUUACAUAAGUAAUGUUUAAAGGACUUAGGAAGGAUAGCUCGGUUUAUCUCCUUUUCCUCGUUGGGAUGUGGCUUUAGGGCAUCGGUUAUCUGUCCGAAGGUCGUCUAAAUAUUAGUUAUAUAUAUUAUGUAUACAUAUAUAGACAUAAAAGUUCUAUCCGUCAAUUCAAUACCCUUGGGUAGCAAGGGUAUACGUUGAUGUUCAUACGUACAAGUUAUAUUACUAGUAAACUAUGAUAGACAUAGUUUAGGAAGUUACUAACACUAUUACUAGAACAAAGAAUCAUACAAAGAGUCAGUUCAUUCAUGAGUCAAUACUUGCUAGAUAGAGAGAGCACACAAUACAGCUAGUAUACACAUUACAUUACUAUACAUGCUAGAUAGAGAGAGAAUACACAAUACAGCUAGUACACGCAGAACAUUAUAGUACAUACAGGCUAGACAGAGAUAGAACAUACAAUACAACUAGCACAUUCAUUCCAUAUACAUUCAUGCAGUUAUGUGAACCACUAAACGGGGCAUGACACUUCCUGCCAUGGCCAUUUUUGUAUCCAAAAUCUCCUUAAUUGGGGAGCGUAUGAGUUUGUGUAUAGAUCUAUACUGGAUUGACUAUCCUACACCUUGUUGCUCACUACAGUGGGACUUGCAAGUCUACGGGUGCCAAAUGCCAUUUCUUACGGCGUCUUACAUCGUCGUUUUACUAGAGUCGGUAGCAGGAUACAUGCCGAUGAUGUGUGUAAAACUCAAAUAGUUUUAAACCUACUUUUAAUUAUAAAAUGAACACAUAAAGGCAGUGGACCUAUCAAUUGUGGUAAAGCUAAAUAAAUAGGGUAUCGAACAUAGGGAACUGUAAAUUAAAACUAAAAAUUAAUUUUAUCUAAAUUAAUUCAUAAGUAGAGGUUUUCUCUAGGUUUACAAGACCAUAAACUUACUAACUAUCACUUAAGCUAAAAACUUGGAAAGCAAAGAACUAACUAGAUUCAAUAACGGGAAGGAACUUCUGUUGAGUUCAACUCAAUUGUUCCUAUGGUUGAUUUCAUGGUAAUAGUGCAAUGGAUUAAUUCUUUUGUUGGCUACCGACUCUAAUGAUUAGCUUCGCGUUCACUACACUAACCCUUAGUGAAAUAAUUAACUCAAACAGUGAUUAGUUGUCUAACUUAAUUAAAUUCACUAGAUUAAUUAUUCGGGUUAAUUUAGACUUGCAAUAAUUAACUAAUUUGGUCCUUUAGUUAAUUUCUUGUUGAUGGUCAUCAAACAAGCUCACACAUGAAUUUACUUAACUUUCUUAUUAAUUCUAGUUUCAUGUUCAUUAAUCCUAGACAUAUGAUGAAGUGGUCACGUAAACAUAUGAGGUUGAUAAUCAAAAGAUGUUCAUACUAUUUUACUACCUUCCUAUUAACAGAAAAUUAAUUAUCAUUCACACACAAGGUUCUUUAGCAAGCUAAAAUAACAAAAAUCACCAACAUUAAAUUAAUCCUACCAAUAAUCAAACCAUAGUAUCAAUUUUGUAUCCCCGAACAGAAGUUUAAGAGUUUUAGCUCAUAAUUAAGGUAAAUAACAGAAAACAAACAAAUUCUAAGUGUUGAGCCAUAAUGGAAAACAAAAGAUUAAGUAGAAUGAUGAAAAUUGCCUUAAAUCUCCUUCGUAAUUGAAUUCUAGCUUGUAUCUUCGUCCUCUAGGGUUUUUCUGGCUCUUCAAUCGCAGCUAACCUCUCCAGAAUGGUUCCAGAAUUCUCUCUUGUCGAUCUGAGAAGUUAUCUUUAUAUUUUUGAAACGACUCGUCGAGUCAGGUGACGAGUCGCUGAGUCCAUCUCUCAAUCCCCGUAUGCGACAAGUCUCUGGAUCUUCGAGUCUUUAUCUUCUCGAAUAUUCGCUUGGACUCGCCGAGUAGACGACCCUACUCACCGAGUCGGUGUUGUUUUUGGUGUUUUUCUUCUUUGUUCAAUUCCCGAGCUCUCAACCGCUUCUCCUGCUUCCUUUUGCUUCCGAGCUUCACUUUUGGACUGAAAACAUAAUUCAAACACUUUUAAGUACCUUUUGUCCAUGAAAUGCAAUAAUUUAGCUAAUAAAUGAUAAAAAAAAUCUUUACUUAAUAUGAACUAAAUAUGCACAUAUCAAAAUACCCCACAGUUGACUUUUGCUUGCCCCCAAGCAAAACUGAAUUUUAACACAUUAGAAUCACAUAUGACAACUCCAAUCUAACCCAGCCAUUAUGUCCAGACCACAACACAUACAUUUGUGUCUAAAAUUUUCCUAAUAACCCUUCAUACUCUAGAUACUCACAAUCCUCAUAAAACAUUCGCCCACUCACCCCGAACUAUGCUCAUUUUAUGCAUCCCUCCGAAUCCAUCCGCAGAAAGCUUCGAAAGUGUGAAAAUACAAGGCGACUCGUCGAUUCAGUUAAAUGCACUCGGCGAGUAGACCGCUGGGUGAAAAAAAAUCGCAUUCUGCAUUUGUUCCAGCUUCUGAUAAAUCUUCAAAACUUCUCACAAAUUCUAGACUCAUUCGCUCAUGUACCUAAGGACCGGACUCGACACCGCAACUCUAGACUCCGCGCUUUCUUGACUCUUUUCCACUCUUUAUAACUCUCUUUCUCUCUCAAACUCUAAACCCUUUUAUGCAAGCAUUCUAACCCAAAAUUUGAAAAUCAUCAAGGCAAUUAAACAUCAAGCAUAAAAUAAAAGUCUUAAAUUUCAACACACCAAACCCAAACAAAAACAAAAACAAAAUAAAAAUUGUUCAACAAAACAUAAAUAAACUAAUCCUCCUCCUCAUCAACAUCAUCAUGUGCAGCUCCACUUCCAUUAGCGCCACUCCUCCUUGCAUUGAUCACCUCAUCCCAAGAUGGAAUGUAUGGAAAGUUACCACCAUCGAUAUGCGGAAUAUGGAAGUGGUCAAAAAGUCGGAUAUUUGAUUCAUUGCUAAAGUUGAUACCCCGCGCCAUUUGAUCUUGCAACCGCCUCAUCUCAACAUUGUACCAAUCCAUUGGUACUUCAUCAUUGUCUACCGGAAUCACUGGCGGUUCCUCCUCCACGUCUCGCUCUCGCCUCGACCGAACCCUCCUUCCCGGCGCCUCGGGACCAACCACCGGAUCAUCAUGCGGGAUAACAUAAUAACCACCACCAUAGUCCUCAAUAAUCAUAGCCCUCCGAAAAAGAAUGGGAUUAAAUGGAGGGGUAGGAAUCACUUUCAUCAAAUUCCAUGCACCACGGGUCAUCAACCCAAACGAGUUGGCUAACCGGGUGACAAACAUGCUACCAUUAAUUUUUGAGGUCUUGCGAUCCUUGACCGCACCCUCCGCCAAAUAGGAAGCCAAACACCACGGAAUGUUGCAAAAAUUGUCUAGUGUGAUAAUGCUCCAUAGGUAAAAGACAUCAAGGUUAGAAACCUUGUCGUCAUCCUUCCGUUGGUUGAUGGUGGUGGAGAUAAGGCGAUGAAUGAGACGGUGCGUGGGCGACCGAAUACUUCCCUCUUGUGCCGACUUUGGAAUGUACAACUUAUUGGUGAUCGUGUUCCACCAACCCGUACUUGUAACACCAUCGGGGAACACCUUGUGAGAGCGUUCCAUAAAGGCGCCAAAAAUAACAGUCGAGACCAAUGGCCGGUCAUAGAUUCCCAACCAACAAGCAAGAUCAACAACGAAGCACUGAUGAAACUCGCCCCCAAGGCAAAAACUGAAACUCGUCGGGUGAUAGCAAUCAUCUCCUCCAUGAAAAGAUAUCGUGGACAAAAAUUCUAGGCAAAGUUCCCGGUAUACCGACUCUUGAAUUCUAAAGACCCGGCUCCACCCAUCGCAAACCAUCGUCUCCCCCUCGUAAGUUAACUCCUUUAAAAGAUAAGGAGACAACUCCUCUUCAUACCGCACACUUCGCAACCAAUCCCAAUCAAUCCUGUCGGGUNCAAGGCAAAAACUGAAACUCGUCGGGUGAUAGCAAUCAUCUCCUCCAUGAAAAGAUAUCGUGGACAAAAAUUCUAGGCAAAGUUCCCGGUAUACCGACUCUUGAAUUCUAAAGACCCGGCUUCACCCAUCGCAAACCAUCGUCUCCCCCUCGUAAGUUAACUCCUUUAAAAGAUAAGGAGACAACUCCUCUUCAUACCGCACACUUCGCAACCAAUCCCAAUCAAUCCUGUCGGGUAUGUAAAUCUCUUUCUUUCUGACUUCAACUAACUUCUUCUUCCAUCUCUUCAUGGUUGAAGCUGAUUCAAUUUGAGGAAAAUUCAACCAAGGAAAAUCUCCUUGGCGUCCACUGGAACUUUGACCUCUGUUGAACAUUGCCCCUGCAAAACAAAGAACACAAAACCCAGAAAACACAUAAAAUCAUCAAAAUAGAUCACACCUGGGUCCCCGAUUGGACUCGGCGAGUCGCAUGAACUGUGCGAGUCAGUCGACGAGUCCGUCAAAAUUCAACCACGAAAUCUCAAAAUUCCUUCAAGGGUUUUGUCCAGGGACAUGUCUAAAAUGUAUUAGGGCAAGAAUAAUCAUCCAAAACAACAUAAUUGAUGUAAAAGCAAAACCCUAAAAUUUUACUAUAACUCAAAAUCAGGUAUUCUAUGAAAUUGCUACCCUAGAUCAUCUAAAAAUCAUGCCUUUAACAGAAUUUAGAAAGAAAUUAAGUACCUUUUGUGAUGGAAAUUGUCAAUUUUGAAGAAAAGAUGAAGAAGUUGAUGAAUGCUUGAGAGAGAACAAAAGUGGAGGCGUACGGCGAGUGAAGGGGGAAAAACUGAUUUCAUUAGGGUUAAAAACCCUAGUUACCGGUUGUAAAAUAAUUUUUUUUUUCUGUAAAUAAAACAGACUCGUCGAGUCAGAGGCAGACUCGGCGAGUCUGGUCGCGAUUCUAUCCUUAUCUGAAAUCUGAAUGGACUCGUCAAGUCAUGGUUGGACUCGGCGAGUCUCUUUCAAAUAAUUCAAAAAUUAUAUAAUUUUUCCAUUUAUUUAGAAAGAAAAUUUAUUCCACCCCACACUUAGUCCAUACGCACUCUCAAGCAGACAUAUCCGACGAUUUGGAAGAUUAAAAUCCUAAAAACGAAAAUCAAACAAAACUGAAAAGAUAGAAGAAAGCAAACUAUAAACAACGGGUUGCCUCCCGCCAAGCGCUUCUUUUUAAGGAGUCGUUAGCUGGACUCCUUCCCAUCUACGUGUCGUCAUCUUCCAACAUCGGGAACGCACGCCUAACCUUUUGUGGUUUGUACUUUGUCUUGUAAGUGUGAAUUUUCUUCUUGUAAGCUCGUUUUAAUUCCUCUCUCUUCUUUCUUACAGCAUCAUCCUCAACUGCUUGAAAUUCCCUUCUCCUCUUUUUCUUCUUCACCCCAUUCUUUUGCACCUUCUCUUGCAUGUUCUUUUCCUCAAACUUAAUUACUUCAUAUUUUGUGAAAGCUCGUGCUCUAGGUUUGGUAAUGAAUGGGUGACCAGUAUCAACUCUCCUAUCCUUGCCUUCNUCAUCUUCAAGCGAAAUUGCAUCAAGACAUGCUAUAUGAACGUGUUGAACUUCAGUAUCCAUUUCUCCUUCUGCUAUUUGUUCUUCUAAAGAAUGAGGAAAAACAUCCAUGUCCAGCACAUGCAGAGAACUAGCAACAAGCAGAUCUAAGUCGUCUAAGUUGUUGGUAAUUUCGACUGGACUCGUCGAGUCUAGGAAAGUGACUCGGUGAGUCGGAUCGCAUUUCACCAUUUCUACUGUAUUUUCUGAGUCAGCUCCUUCCAGUAGCUUCUCUAUCUCCUCCAAGUCUUUGUCAAAAUAUCCAUUACCUCCAGAAGGUAGCAAAAACUUGCUUGGAUCUUCUUCUUGCAAAAGUGCAAGUUCUUUUUGUAGUAUCUCAUCAUCCAAAUCGAUAAAUGAGAUCUCUUCUUUUCCUUCCUCUUCUUGCUUGACCUCUGGUAAAGCUCUAAAUACUGUUGACUCAUCUCCUACCCUCAACGUUAGUGUAGACUCACAUACAUCAAUUAGUGCACAUGUGGUUUUCAAAAAUGACCUCCCCAAAAUAAUCGGAAUUUCGGGGUCUUCUUCCAUAUCAAGCACCAGAAAGUCUACUAGAAAUAUGAACUUGUCGACUUUAAUGAGAAGAUCCUUACAAACGCCUCUUGGAUGAAUUGUUGUCUUGUCUGCCAAAUGGAUCUUCAUGUUUACCGGCCUUGGCUCCGGUAAAUUCAGCUUCUUAAAGAAAAAGAAAGGCAUCAGGUUGAUGCUUGCACCCGAGUCGGUCAACGCUUGAGUGACAAGUGCAUUUCCAAAUUGGCACGGAAUUAUGAUACUCCCCGGAUCCCCCUUCUUUUUGUGUAACUCACUCAAUAUUAUUUCCGCAACUUUAGCUAAAUCUUUCCUAGUAGCAAAGAGACCCUUUAGUAAGUUAAAAUACUUGGGCGGUUGAAGCAUUGUUUCUACAAAUGGCACGUUGACUUGUGGGGAUCUAAAAUGCUCCAUAAAAGCUCUAUAAGCUUUAACCUUUUCACCAGGCAUGGCUCUGAUUGGGAAUGGCAAAGGGGGAUUAUAUGGCUUUAAGGGAAUGACCAUUUUUUCAUUAACGCAUGGACUCGUCGAGUCCAUUAGAGGGACUCGGCGAGUCUGGUCGGGCUUAGCUGGAGCCGACUCUGCUACCUUUUCUGUCUUCCUAUUGGAGAUCCUCUGUGCAUGUGUGAAAAUUUCUUCAUAGCUAGAAGUCACAAUACUCACAUUCUCCAUUCUUGGAUUAUCUUCGAUGUUACUUGGAAGUUGACUCGGUCUUCUUUUGUUCACUUGAUGUGCAAGUUGUCCCAACUGUUUCUCAAUGUUGAGAAUGGAUGACUGCUGAUUCCUUAGCAUAUUUCUGGUCUCGUGUAUUGCAGCAUCGUGAUCAUUGUGUCUCUUUUCGGAUGCGGCUAUGAAUCUAGUGAACAAUUCUUCUAAAUCGGCUUUCUUUUCCAUUACCGGUUCUUCCUUUUGAUAAAAUCCCCUCUCCUUCUGCUUGUAUUUCUCCUCCUUAGCCUUCUUGUAUUCUUCGUAUGGGAGCCAUUCCUUCUUCGGUUUCCGCCAAUUCUCGUCGUAUCGAUCGCCGCUUGAGUAGAACACUUGAGCUUUCUUGUUUCCAUUUUCAUCCAAAUCACAAUCUUUUGUGAGAUGGGGCCCUCUACAAUUCUCACAUCCAACUCGAAUAGCAUGGAUUGUUUGAUCCAUUUUUGUCAUCCUUCUAUCUAGACUAUCGAGCUUAGCUAUCACCACCGCCAUGCUAUCAUUUGCCGAGUUCACUACCCCCCGACUUACUUCAUUUCUUGGAUUGUGGUAUACUCUAGAAUGCUUAGAGAAUUCUUCAAUUAACUCCUUGAUUACUGGGGGCGGCUUCUUCAUGAGUGGGCCUUGUGAAUCGAGCAAUUGCCUUGUAGUGACAUUGACUCAAUCAUAGAAGAUGGAGACCUCUUGUUGGCUAUUGAGUUCAUGGUGUGGGCAAUUUCUAAGAAGACCUUUGUACCUUUCCCAAGCUUCAUAAAGAGAUUCCCCGGGUUGUUGCUUGAAGUUGGCAAUGGCUUUCUUUAGCUUGGCUAUUUUGGAGGGCGGGCAAAAGUGGUCUAUGAACUCUUCUUUCAUCUUGGCCCAUGUGGUGACCGAUCCGGGAGGAAGUGACUUUAGCCAAUCCUUUGCAGCACCCUUGAACGUGACUAGAAGCAUGCGAAGAAGCUGGGUCUCACGUGGAACAUUUCGUACAUUGAAGUAGUCAGCCACAUCAUUCACUUCGUCCAAGUGCUUGUAGGCGUCUUCAUGGUCUUUCCCAUAAAAAGGAAUCUCCUUGAGUUGAGCAAGAAUAUGACACUUUAGCUCGAAAGUAGCGGUAGCGGGAAUUGCGGGCUGCACAAGUCCCGGGCCAGUGUCAUCGCGCAUCCUUUUUUUCCAUUCCCCCAUGGGGACUUCAUCGAUAUUAGCCAUAGUGAUAGCUAAAUCGUCUUCAAAAUCGGAUUCGUUCUCGUAUGUGGGUUCUUCUUCUUCCUCGGUCUCGUACUCGACGUCUUCUUUAAUUGGGUCUUCGAUUGUCACAGAGGCACUGGAUGCUCCUGAUCUGCUGCUCCUCUUCUUGCUAAAAAUGGACUUGAGGUUCUUGAGUGGCGAGUUCUUUGAAGAAGCUGAUUCUCCAACAGUUUUGCCUUUGUUCCUCCUUAGUGCGGAUUUCGGGUCUUCAAGAGGAGGGACCAAAGGUGUAUCAGAUCCUCAGGUCAUGAAACAACUAUAAACAAAACAUAAAGCGCGUAAAAAGAACAAAAAAUAAAUAACAAUUAAAACUGUGAAUCAACGAUGUACUCGCCGAGUCGGCACGAGUGCACUCGGCGAGUUGAAGGUAAAAACAGAAAAAAAAAUUAAUUACUUUUGAAAACGAAUUUCUAUUAAAACUUAUAUUAAUUACUAAAUUACCUAUGAAUUAACUCUGUGUAAGAUGAAUCUUACACAAAGGGUCGAUAAAAAAAAAUAGAAUUUAAUGUUAACUUUAGAACCGUUCCCGACAACGGCGCCAAAAACUUGAUGUGUGUAAAACUCAACUAGUUUUAAACCAACUUUUAAUUAUAAAAUGAACACACAAAGGCAGUGGAUCUAUCAAUUGUGGUAAAGCAAAAUAAAUAGGGUAUUGAACACAGGGAACGGAAAUUAAAACUAAAAAGUUUAUCUAAAUUAAUUAAUAAGUAGGGGUUUUCUCUAGUUUUACAAGACUAGAAACUUACUAACUAUCACUUAAUCUAAAAACUAGGAAAGCAAAGAACUAACUAGAUUCAAUAACGGGAAGGAACUUAUGUUUAGUUCAACUCAAUUGAUCCUAUGGUUGAUUUCAUGGUAAUAGUGCAAUGGAUGAAUUCUUUUGUUGGCUACCGACUCUAAUGAUUAGCUUUGCGUUCACUACACUAACCCUUAGUGAAAUAAUUAACUCAAACAGUGAUCAGUUGUCUAACUUAAUUAAAUUCACUAGAUUAAUUAUUCGGGUUAAUUUAGACUUGCAAUAAUUAACUAAUUUGGUCCUUUAGUUAAUUUCUUGUUGAUGGUCAUCAAACAAGCUCACACAUGAAUUUACUUAACUUUCUUAUUAAUUCUAGUUUCAUGUUCAUUAAUCCUAGACAUAUGAUGAAGUGGUCAUGUAAACAUAUGAGGUUGAUAAUCAAAAGAUGUUCAUACUAUUUUACUACCUUCCUAUUAACAGAAAAUUAAUUAUCAUUCACACACAAGGUUCUUUAGCAAUCUAAAAUAAUAAAAAUCACCAACAUUAAAUUAAUCCUACCAAUAAUCAAACCAUAGUAUCAAUUUUGUAUCCCCAAACUGAAGUUUAAGAGUUUUAGCUCAUAAUUAAGGUAAAUAAUAGAAAACAAACAAAUUCUAAGUGUUUGAGCCAUAAUGGAAAACAAAAGAUUAAGUAGAAUGAUGAAAAUUGCCUUAAAUCUCCUUCGUAAUUGAAUUCUAGCUUGUAUCUUCGUCCUCUAGGGUUUUUCUGGCUCUUCAAUUGCAGCUAAACUCUCCAGAAUGGUUCCAGAAUUCUCUCUUGUCGAUCUGAGAAGUUAUCUUUAUAUUUGCGAAACGACUCGUCGAGUUAGGUGACGACUCGCCGAGUCCAUCUCUCAAUCCCCGUAUGCGAUAAGUAUCUGGGUCCCCGAGUCUUUAUCUUCUCGAAUAUUCUCUUGGACUCGCCGAGUAGACGACCCUACUCGCUGAGUAGGUGUUGUUUUUGGUGUUUUUCUUCUUUGUUCAAUUCCCGAGCUCUCAACCGCUUCUCCUGCUUCCUUUUGCUUCCGAGCUUCACUUUUGGACUAAAAACAUACUUCAAACACUUUUAAGUAUCUUUUGUCCAUGAAAUGCAAUAAUUUAGCUAAUAAAUGAUAAAAAAUCUAUACUUAAUAUGAACUAAAUAUGCACAUAUCACCGAUCACAUAUUACUUUAAAUUACAAUUGGUUUAAGGUAGUUAGUACAGAAGUAGUUACUUAUUACAAUACUACAGUACUAUGAUAUUUUCCCAUUACAUUCCCUUCGUGAAUAUUCACACGAUGCACGGUAAUGUAAAAACUAUAUUUUUGGUUAAUGAUAAUCGGACUUGGGAAUAUACACACUCUUACAACAGACACAAACAGAUACUAGAUGCCUUGGUAGAAGGCUACUUUUAGUAGGAAACAUAGGGUUUUCUAGAAGAGUUCAAAACAUCUUACAAAACAUAUUACAAAUACUUUCAUACAAAUACAGACACUAAUAUACUUAUGAUUUCACCAGCUUUAAAGCUAAUACUCGCUUUCAGAUCACCAGUAGAUAGGUACAGGUGCCAGGUUUUUGAGAAGAUGGAGUUCGUUCAAGACUCGUCUUUUAUUUUGAUAUGUAUUUUUUUGGUGUCUAUAUAACUUGAUAGAACACACUUGUAUAAAAUUAUAUUAUUAAUGCAAUGGAUGAUGUUGUUGCUUGUUUACUAGUAUUCAUUGUUGUGAUAUUGUACAUGACGUCCUCCGCCCCAGAACGUUUCCGUCGUUCAUGGUUUUGGGGUGUGACAGAUUCGUAUCAGAUCAUUGUUUAUAGUGAAUUGAGUAUAUUAAGCCAUAAAAGAUAUACUAACUAUAAAUACAAUGGGAUAAAAAAAAUACUCUGACCAAGAGUUUAUACUUUAAGUGUUAAAAUAUUUAAUUAAGUAUACGUGCCUGCAUUCAUACUAAAAUCAAUGUCACUAAGACAGUACAAAAGUAUUACGAUUGUUGGGCAGCACAAGUAGACUUAAAGACAUAUAGUCAAAAUUGGGAAGAUAUAGCCUGAUCAACUAUAUUAUCCGAGGGUUGACUAGCAUGUGCCUAAGUGUGGUUGUGAGGUUGCAACAAGUGUAAAAACUUACCCACAAUACUACAAUGAGAACAAUAGAACCUAAACUUAAAAUACUAUAGGAGUAUUUUUUGUUACUACAAUCUACUUAUGUACUAGAUUCUUAUACCUCUCUUCUCGCCUAGAUUUAAUGGCUGGAUUCCACCUUCCUGGAGACUCGUACUACCCCAACCACGACAAUGCAGGAUGGCUGGAAGAAGAACCAGAAGAUGAUUUCCCAAUCCCUUUGGAUGAACAUGAAGCUGAAGGCUUUUCUGAUGGUACCGACUCAGAGCCAGAAGUCAACAAUCUUCCUCCAGCUGAUCAAAACCCAAACCCUCGCCCAACAUUUCAAGGACCCACACCUCUGUGGGCCACGAACCUGAAUAGAUGGAGUCAAGAACAAGGUCAACCCAUCUCCUACAACGGAGACAGAAGCUUCUACAACCUUACUGAGGGAGGUUCCGCUGACAGAGUCCUACCCAUCAUAGUUCGUAGGAUUGCUCGGAACACAGAGCAGGGUCGAGCGGCUAUCGGCCGAGUCGUGGAGAUUGACGCCAACUUUGGUGAAACACGUCCGCAUUCGCCAGCUAGAGUAUGCUCAUGAAAGGACUCUGGUCCACAAUGCAACUCUUCAUAGGGAACUCGCUGAGACCCAAGCUGGCAGGGAACUUCGAGCUCAGCAAGCAAGAUCUGAUAGGCGCGUGAGGGACAUAGAACGUCUUUUUUCGGGGUCAAGAACUCACUCUGGUAGUUCUCGUCGCCGAUAGAUUCUCAUCAACUUCUCUCUUUUGGAUAUAACCUAGUUAUGUAAAACUCUGGUCUAAUUCCCUAUCUUUGUAAAUCUUAGGCCUGUUAGGUCUUGGUUAGGUUGUAAUUCUGUCAAAAUUUUCCCAUUUUGGUUGAUGUAAGGCCUACUUCUAGGCCAUUUUUCCCAAACUUGUUACAUCGGUAAUUCCAGUAAUAUUGACAGGUACCUAAUCUCAUGGGAAUUAUUAUCCAAAUGUGAUCAUCUAUUAGUUCUAGAUCUACAUUCAAUCGUACUGUUGGGCUAUGAAGAGAUAGUCCAUGAGUCAUUCUCAUCAAUUCUUCCAUUACAUUCUUAUCAAUGUUUUCGUCUUCGUAAACUUAUAGAUCAAAGAUGCCGCCUCAAAAAAAUCCAACGCAUAAUCAUAAUAACGAAACACUAAUACCACCACCUCAACCACCUACUCCUCAGUUCGACACGACCACCCUAAAUGUUGUUGUAGCUGCAGUUGUGGCUACAACCAUGGCUCAAUAUCAUUCAUCCGGUUCCACUGGAGGAGGAACCCCUGUCUUGUCUACUCAUGGUGAAAUCCCUGUGCGUUUGAAAUAGUGCUCCUACAAGGACUUCAUCAACUGCAAGCCAUUGUCCUUCAAAGGGAGUAGCGGAGUCAUUGCCUUCUCACAAUGGUUCGAGAAAACCAAAUCGGUUUUCGAAAUCUGCUCCUGUCUGGAGGAGAGCAAGGUCAAGUUUGCUGCUUGCACCUUUGAAACAAAAGCCCUAACAUGGUGGAAUAGCCAUGUUAAGUCACUAUCUCUCACAGUGGCUAAUUCUAUGGUCUGGGAAACUUUGAAAGACCUCAUGAUUGAGGAGUACUGCCCGAGGGGCGAGAUAUUGAAGCUGGAGGAAGAAAUGUGGAGCCUAACCAUGAAGGGCUCCAACGUAGUCGCCUAUACCGCCAGGUUCUGUGAACUGGUGGCCCUCUAUCCCAACAUGGUUCAUACAAAGGGAAAGAAAAUCGAGAGGUAUAUAUGGGGGCUGAUACCACCAUACCAGGGAAAUGUAUUGGCAUCACACCCCACUACAUUUGAUAGUGCCAAACGAUUAGCACAACAGCUCAUAGACCAUGGGGUUUAUACCCCGGCCGCAACAUCAACCUUGGCCAUCUUAGAACCUUCCAAAGCCGCUGACCCCAAGCGGAAGUUCUGGGAAGAAAAAAAGAAGGCAAAGGCUGCCAAGAAGAAACAGGUCAUGGCAAUUCAUGCUGCGAUUGCACCUGCUGCUGCUGCUCCAGUAAAGCAGUACGCUGGAAGUUUGUCCAAGUGCAACAAAUGCAACUUCCAUCACGUGGGUGCCUGCCGGGAAAUGUAGUGUUUGAACUGCAACGGGAAGGGGCACACUGCCCGUUUUUGUAAAGCUCCGGCGAAGCCAAUCAACCAAGUCCCCGGUGCUGGAGUGGGCCAAACUUGCUAUGAAUGUGGUGGGGUAGGCCACUUCAAAAGGAACUGCCCGAAGGCAGGGUUUGCCGGUGGAGCGGCAAGAGUUCUGACCAUAGGCCAUGAGGAAGCGGUUGCCGACCCCACAGUGGCCACUGGUAUGUUCCUCCUUGAUAACUCUUAUGCAUGCAUUCUAUUUGAUAAUGGAGCGGAGAGGAGUUUCGUGAACCAAAAAUUUGCUCAUUUAUUUAAGCAAAAAUCACGAGCACUUAAAGAACCGUUCACUGUAGAAGUUGCUAAUGGAAAGACAGAGAGCACUAGUAGCAUAUUCAUAGGGUGUACCCUAACUUUAGAUAGCCAUCCAUUUUCGAUUGAUCUCAUGUCGGUCUCAAUUAAAAGUUUCGACGUCAUUAUCGACAUGGAUUGGUUGAGAUUACAUCGUGCCGAUAACAUGUGUUACGAAAAGGCUAUUCGCCUUGAUCCGCUGUUUGCCGAAACCCUAGUAGUUUAUGGUGACAAACCUGGCACGAACCUUCGUAUAAUCUCGAGCAUUCAAGCUUAUAAAUUCUUGCGAAAGGAAUGUCGAGCAUUCCUUGAUCAUGUGGUCGAUGUGAGCGAAGAAACAAAGGACAUUCAGAACAUUCCAGUAGUACGCAACUUUCCCGACGUCUUUCCACCAGAACUCCCAGGAUUACCUCCGCAACGUUAAGUCGAGUUCCGAAUCGACUUUGUUCCAGGGGCUACCCCCGUAGCCAAAUCGCCCUAUCGUCUAGCACCUGCAGAGAUGCAAGAACUGUCUUGUCAACUUAACGAACUGCUCAGCAAGGGCUUUAUAAGACCAAGCUUCUCACCCUGGGGAGCUCCAGUCUUGUUCUUCAAGAAGAAAUAUGGAUCGUUUCGUAUGUGCAUCGACUACAGGGAGCUCAACAAACUGACCAUCAAAAAUCGUUAUUCGUUGCCUCGUAUCGACGAUUUAUUUGACCAACUUCAAGGGGCGAACUUCUUUUCAAAAAUCGACUUGAGAUCCAGAUAUCACCAACUAGGAGUGCUAGGGGAGGAUGUUCCGAAGACAGCAUUCCAGACUCGUUAUGGGCACUACGAAUUCAUAGUGAUGUCCUUCGGAUUAACAAACGCGCCCUCGGUAUUCAUGGACUUAAUGAAUAGGGUUUGUCGUUCUUACUUGGAUCAGUUCCUCAUCGUCUUCAUCGAUGACAUACUUAUCUACUCUUGUAGUAAGGAGGAGCAUAGUCAACAUCUGCGUCAAGUCCUAGAAACAUUACGUUCGGAGAAGCUCUACACGAAGUUCUCAAAGUAUGAAUUUUGGAUUCGACGAGUCGAAUUCUAAGGGCACGUGGUUAACGAAUAGGGAAUACACGUGGACCCUUCCAAAAUUAAAUCCUUUGAGAACUGGUCAGCACCGAAGACGCCUACAGAAAUUCAUCAAUUGCUAGGCCUCGCUAGCUACUAUCGCAGGUUCAUUCAGAACUUCUCCCGCAUUGCGAAACCUCUUACAACACUGAUCCAGAAAGGCGUGGCGUUUGACUGGCAAGAGAAGCAGGAAAGAGCGUUCCAAACGCUCAAACGAGCCUUGUGCACCGCACCAAUACAAUCCCUCCCCAAAGGAAUAGAAGACUUUGUUGUCUGUUGCGAUGCGUCGAAUAAAGGACUCGGAUAUGUUCUGAUGCAGUGAGGUAAGGUCAUCGCCUAUGCCUCGAGACAGCUGAAGACACAUGAGGUCAACUACACGACCCAAGAUCUUGAACUGCGAGCAGUUGUUUUUGCUCUAAAGAUCUGGAGACACUACCUGUACGGUACGAAAUGCACUAUCUUUACAGACCACAAAAGCCUACAACACAUAUUCGACCACAAGGAGCUCAACAUGAGACAACGACGGUGGGUCGAGCUACUCAGUGAUUACGAAUGCAAAAUUCGUUAUCAUUCGGGUAAAGCCAAUGUAGUAUCUGACGCCCUAAGUCGGAAAGAAUAUUCUGGUCGUAGAGUCAAAUCAUUGACUAUGACUAUCCACUCACACUUUUCCACACAAAUUAAGGCGGCUCAGCUCGACUCUUUGAAUCCUGAAAAUGUGGCGGGUGAAUCCCUGAGAGGGAUGGAUAAGAACUUGGAGGUUAAGUGUGGCGGAGCUUAUUAUUACAUGGACCGGAUCUGGACCCCGAAACUCGGUGGUUUCAGAGACUUGGGCAUGAACGAGGCGCACAACACUCGUUAUUUCGUGCACCCGAGUUCAGAUAAGAUGUAUCUGGAUCUUAAAAAGUUAUACUGGUGGCCUAACAUGAAAGCAGAGAUUGCUACAUUCAUGAGUAAAUGCCUUACUUGCACAAGGUCAAGGUCGAAUGCCAGAAACCUUCUGGUCUACUACAACAGCCUGAGAUACCGGAAUGGAAGUGGGAGCGGAUCACUACGGAUUUCAUAACCAAGUUGCCCAAGACAACGGGUGGACUUGAUAUCAUAUGGAUCAUCGUCGACAGAUUGACCAAGUCUGCACACUUCCUGCCUAUCAUGGAAACAUACAAGAUUGAGAAACUUACAAGAACUUACAUUAGAGAUAUUGUACGACUGCACAGUGUUCCCUUAUCCAUUAUCUCGGACAGAGAUAGUAGAUUCACUUCAAGGUUCCGGCAGUCGUUACAAAGUUCCUUAGGAACUAGGUUGGACAUGAGUACAGCCUACCAUCCACAGAACAACGGGAAAAGUGAGAGAACUAUCCAAACCUUGGAAGAUAUGUUGUGAGCCUGUGUGAUCGACUUUGAGAAAGCAUGGGAUACUCAUUUACCCCUUGUCGAAUUUUCCUACAACAACAGUUAUCACACGAGCAUUAAGGCUGCUCCAUUCGAGGCCCUCUAUGGUCGAAAGUGCAAAUCCCCUCUGUACUGGGCUAAGGUGGGUGAUACCCAGUUAGCUAAAGGACGAGUUCCUGAUAGCACUCUCACAAGUUCGGAGAUCAUACGGGAAAUGACAGAGAAGAUUGUUCAGAUUCGUGAACGAUUGAAAGCCUCUAGAGACCGACAAAAAAGCUACGUUGAUAAACGAAGGAAACCGUUGGAAUUCUAGGUGGGCGACCGCGUUAUAUUAAAGGUCUCACCCUGGAAGGGCUUGAUACGCUUCAGAAAGCGUGGAAAGCUAAAUCCAAGGUACAUAGGGCCUUUCAAGAUUCUUGCAAGAAUCGGCCCUGCAGCUUACAAACUUAACUUACCUCGCGUACUUAGUAACAUACAUUCUACCUUCCACGUCUCGAACUUGAAAAAGUGUCUGUCCGACAAGACUCUUGUUAUCCCACUCGAUGAGAUCGAGAUCAACGAGAGCCUCAACUACAUGGAAGAACCUAUAGAGAUCAUGGACUGAUAGGUCAAGCAAAGAAAGCAAAGUCGUAUCCCGAUAGUGAAGGUUCUCUAGAACGCCAAGCGAGGACCGGAAUUCACUUGGGAGCGAGAGGAUUAGAUGAAACUGAAAUAUCCUCGUCUUUUUACUUAGUUAUUUGUAACUACUUAUUUGCUUAAACUCUAAUUUCGGGACGAAAUUCCUUCUAAGGAGGGGAUGAUGUUACAACCCGAAAUUUCUAUUCUGUACAACAUUUCCAUUCAAUAGAAGUUAGACCAGUUCCUGGAAACUUUCAAGCUUUUCGGAAUAAGUUUGAGUAUUUUAGGAUUAACAACUUUGGAGAUAUCAGGAGAGAGGAUGCCCUAGGGUUUAUUGUGCAACAAUAAAGUCCCGACACAUCAAGUUAGUAUAUCACUUAAUCUAGUGAUUUAACACACUUCUAUCCACGAAAUCUUUCCAAAAGGUUGAUUCUUCAAGUUUCACCAAGAACACCAAGAACACACACUAGUGUUCUUGGACUUUUGGACCUUUUCAAGCUUCUAUAUUGUAAGUAUUUCUAUCCUAGAGUAUGCUAAGGCUUUGUACACUUCUUUACAUCAAGAAAACAUCAUUGAAACCCAAGAUCAAAGGUGUUAACGUUCCAAGAACACCUUGGGCAUUAAACCCUAAUUUAGGGGCCAAAGUGACCCUAGUCCCUUCACAAGCUUUGGAAACUAGUCUAGACUCAUUGCUUAAUAUGUUUAGGACUUGAAAACAUAAAAAUACCAUAUUCCAUAAGGGUUUACGAUAGUAAACCCAAGAGGAAAUGGUCUUAGGGCCGUAAACUCCUCAAAGGAGGGAAAUGGUGCCCUAAUCUCUUCCAAAGGCUUAACCAUCAAGUAGAAAUGCUUUUAAAGGACUUGUAGGGCUUCAAAACAAAACAUGGUCGUAGGAGUAUGAGUUUA